rnacentral:rRNA from 1 species
GACGGAGGGUGCAAGCGUUGUUCGGAAUUACUGGGCGUAAAGGGCGCGUAGGCGGUCUGUUAAGUUCGGUGUGAAAGCCCCCGGCUCACCUGGGGAACUGCGCCGGAAACCGACAGACUCGAGUACCGGAGAGGAGGGUGGAAUUCCUGGUGUAGCGGUGAAAUGCGUAGAUAUCAGGAGGAACACCGGUGGCGAAGGCGGCCCUCUGGACGGAUACUGACGCUGAGGCGCGAAAGCGUGGGGAUCAAACAGGAUUAGAUACCCUGGUAGUCCACGCUGUAAACGAUGGGAGCUAGGUGUGGGAGGUAUUGACCCUUCCGUGCCGCCGCUAACGCAUUAAGCUCCCCGCCUGGGGAUUACGGCCGCAAGGUUAAA